AAGGAGGCCUGUUCGGCCUUUAAACAAUUACAUGAUUUGAGUUCAGACCGGUACAAGCCAGGUCGGCUUCUAUCUUUUAUAUAGUAUUAUAUAGUACGAAAGGACCUAUAAUUAUAAUUAAAUUAUAAUAAUGGCAGACAAUGCAUUAGAAUUAGAAUCUAAUUAAUCUAAUAUAAUAUGAAUAAUUUUAUUAAAUUUUUUAAUC
rnacentral:rRNA from 1 species